AUUGAACGCUGGCGGCAGGCCUAACACAUGCAAGUCGGACGGUAGCACAGAGAGCUUGCUCUCGGGUGACGAGUGGCGGACGGGUGAGUAAUGUCUGGGAAACUGCCCGAUGGAGGGGGAUAACUACUGGAAACGGUAGCUAAUACCGCAUAACGUCUUCGGACCAAAGCGGGGGACCUUCGGGCCUCACACCAUCGGAUGUGCCCAGAUGGGAUUAGCUAGUAGGUGGGGUAAUGGCUCACCUAGGCGACGAUCCCUAGCUGGUCUGAGAGGAUGACCAGGCACACUGGAACUGAGACACGGUCCAGACUCCUACGGGAGGCAGCAGUGGGGAAUAUUGCACAAUGGGCGCAAGCCUGAUGCAGCCAUGCCGCGUGUAUGAAGAAGGCCUUCGGGUUGUAAAGUACUUUCAGCGGGGAGGAAGGCGAUGAGGUUAAUAACCGCAUCGAUUGACGUUACCCGCAGAAGAAGCACCGGCUAACUCCGUGCCAGCAGCCGCCGUAA
rnacentral:rRNA from 1 species